UAAUUGGAACCGGGAAGUGAAUUGAAGAACAAAAACAACAUGGCGGAUUGUUUUUUUUAAAUAUGUUUUUUUUUUUUUUAGAUGGCCUCGCUUGAACGGCAACUUUACAGUACAGAGGCCAUGGUGGAAAUGCUAAAAAAAGGCCACUUUUUCAACAAUUCAAGACGUCAUUCUACACGACAAAACAGAUGAAAGCUUGGAAAAGCAUGGCGGUCUACAACUUCUUUGUGUGUGGCUGGGUCAAGGAAAUUGGUAUCAAGCCUCUCUAGGAUCAAUCCUGCAUCAUUGAUGUGCGGGUUCUGUUUGUUCUGCUCUUCUACACCUCCUUCCAUCCACUACAGUAGUAUGCAGGUUGGAUGUUGUACUGUAUGUACACACCUCCCGGCUUCAACUGUGCGCCCUGUUCCAUGACGUGCAGCAGAUAUUUUUUUGCCUUGACAAGCAAGCCUGUGUCACGUGCUGUUAUGGAACUGAUGAGCGGCAAGUCGACAUCAGCCUUAAUGGUAAUUGUCAGUCCAGUAAGCAUCUAGGUCAAAGGUCCAAAGGCUGUAUAAGCUAUGGAGUUGCUGUAUGUAAGUAUUUUUCGUGUUGUUUCUAGAGCAACAUUGACAACCUAGAAACCUGGUUGCUAAAGAUGGCUUAAUGUGGCCUAUUUAAGACACAAUAUUAUUUGAGCUUGCAUGUGACCCAUGGAUGCAUCAGACAUGUUACAGUAUAAAAUACAUACAACCCAGACUCACCAGUCCUGCACGGCGCCAAAGGACUCCUCGUUGGUGAUGUCAUACAUGAGGAUGAAGCCCAUGGCGCCGCGGUAGUAGGCCGUGGUGAUGGUCCUGUAACGCUCCUGGCCUGCUGUGUCCUACACACACACACACACACAUACACAUGUUCUGUUCACUGUCAUGCUCAUGCCAUCGUUAAUCAGAUUGCAAGGCAGCAUAAACCAUAUAGGCUGCUGUGCACACAUUUAAUCACAUCUUUGUAUAGUGUUCAUGAUGCAGACAUUGUUCUGCUGAUUGUCUCUGUCAUUCUGCACUCAAAUAGAACAGUGACUUAUUUGGGUCUCUUUCUUUUCAGGCUACGCCAUGUUAGCUGUGAACAGAGUUCAGCUUAAAAUGAUAAAAUGAUGACAAAUUAUGUCUUUAAAAUGAGUAUAAUGCUAUUCAGUGACACAUGUUCCCAUUGUAAACAAAAUAAAUAUAUUUAAUCCACUCCAGAGUUAAACUGUGUCAUAAAACGCAAGUUUAUUUAUGUUUUUGAUUGGUUAGACCUUCUCUGCAUCAUAACUAGUGCUGUUCCUGGAACCUUUACGGUCAAUUUGUUCAUGUUUAGAAACACAUAUUCCAAAAGGAACUAAUAGAAAUAGCAUUCAUCCGCAUUCCAAUGCGCACUCGUCUGUACGCUCUGCUGAUUGCACCUCCAAAGCGCACCCCUGCAGAAGCUGCGCCGGUGCACAGCUGCAAUCAAUCGCCAGCAAUCAACGCACCUGAAGUUGAUGAUGAGACCUGCCUUCUUAAGCCGGCACAACCUGCUAUCCGGCGCCAGAACGUAGCUACCUGUCC